rnacentral:rRNA from 1 species
AUUGAACCCUGGAGGCAUGCCUUACACAUGCAAGUCGAACGGCAGCACGGAGCUUGCUCUGGUGGCGAGUGGCGAACGGGUGAGUAAUAUAUCGGAACGUACCCUAGAGUGGGGGAUAACGUAGCGAAAGUUACGCUAAUACCGCAUACGAUCUAAGGAUGAAAGUGGGGGAUCGCAAGACCUCAUGCUCGUGGAGCGGCCGAUAUCUGAUUAGCUAGUUGGUAGGGUAAAAGCCUACCAAGGCAUCGAUCAGUAGCUGGUCUGAGAGGACGACCAGCCACACUGGAACUGAGACACGGUCCAGACUCCUACGGGAGGCAGCAGUGGGGAAUUUUGGACAAUGGGCGAAAGCCUGAUCCAGCAAUGCCGCGUGAGUGAAGAAGGCCUUCGGGUUGUAAAGCUCUUUUGUCAGGGAAGAAACGGUGAAAGCUAAUAUCUUUUGCUAAUGACGGUACCUGAAGAAUAAGCACCGGCUAACUACGUGCCAGCAGCCGCGGUAAUACGUAGGGUGCAAGCGUUAAUCGGAAUUACUGGGCGUAAAGCGUGCGCAGGCGGUUUUGUAAGUCUGAUGUGAAAUCCCCGGGCUCAACCUGGGAAUUGCAUUGGAGACUGCAAGGCUAGAAUCUGGCAGAGGGGGGUAGAAUUCCACGUGUAGCAGUGAAAUGCGUAGAUAUGUGGAGGAACACCGAUGGCGAAGGCAGCCCCCUGGGUCAAGAUUGACGCUCAUGCACGAAAGCGUGGGGAGCAAACAGGAUUAGAUACCCUGGUAGUCCACGCCCUAAACGAUGUCUACUAGUUGUCGGGUCUUAAUUGACUUGGUAACGCAGCUAACGCGUGAAGUAGACCGCCUGGGGAGUACGGUCGCAAGAUUAAAACUCAAAGGAAUUGACGGGGACCCGCACAAGCGGUGGAUGAUGUGGAUUAAUUCGAUGCAACGCGAAAAACCUUACCUACCCUUGACAUGGCUGGAAUCCUUGAGAGAUCAGGGAGUGCUCGAAAGAGAACCAGUACACAGGUGCUGCAUGGCUGUCGUCAGCUCGUGUCGUGAGAUGUUGGGUUAAGUCCCGCAACGAGCGCAACCCUUGUCAUUAGUUGCUACGAAAGGGCACUCUAAUGAGACUGCCGGUGACAAACCGGAGGAAGGUGGGGAUGACGUCAAGUCCUCAUGGCCCUUAUGGGUAGGGCUUCACACGUCAUACAAUGGUACAUACAGAGCGCCGCCAACCCGCGAGGGGGAGCUAAUCGCAGAAAGUGUAUCGUAGUCCGGAUUGUAGUCUGCAACUCGACUGCAUGAAGUUGGAAUCGCUAGUAAUCGCGGAUCAGCAUGUCGCGGUGAAUACGUUCCCGGGUCU